GUUACUUGGAAUUGCGUCUGAAGCAACAUGAGCAUCUUCUCCCCUGUGGCUCCUUUAACUCCAGCGAGGACGCCGAAGAGGCGGGGGUGCCAGACACGGCUGACGUCACGGGCAGCCCGAAAUGACAAAGCGGACGGGCCAAUCCCAAGUUCGGAUUCUGCGAGAAGCCAUCCGAUUGGACACGAGUGCGGGCGCCCUUGCCCAAUGGUGGAAGAGGGGCAGGAGCCCGGCGGCCGCGUGGGUUUUAAAUCCAUGUGGCGGCGAGAGGGCGGCGGUGGCUGCGCCUCGUGGGCUUGAGUUCGCUCCUUGGCUGGGGAGGCGUGCGUGGGGGCCGUCGUCCGCGCCGCUUACGGUCCUGGGCCGGUGGCUCCGCCUCGCCGCGCCUAUUUGCGUCAGCAGGUGCCUUAUAGGGUCUUGCGGGGACCUAAUGGCGUUCAUGCAUUCGACAGAGCUUUACUGAGACUCUGCUCUGUGCCAGGCAGGGCCUGGUGGGAUCAGGGAGAACCCACGAAAGACACGCUGUGAAUGCCACGUUUCUGUCAUCUGAGUGUCUUUGUCCGCUCCCAUGAAGGAAGUCCCCAGCUGGGGCCAGGCAUCGGAAGACCAGCCUCCUCUGGGCUGGCACGAAGGCAGCCCCCGGCUGGAAGACCAGAAAAGUCUGGUGGUGGAUGGCAACUCGCGGUCAGUCAAACUGGAUGCACAUCCCAGCUUCACUGCUUACCAGCCGAGUGAUGCUGGGCAAGUUAUGAAUACCUGCUUCCGCUUCCUCUGCAAAAUGGGGGUAAUAAUAGUUUUCUCUUCCUUGGGUUAUGGGAGGAGUGAGUCGGAUGAUGUAGGCAGGAUGCUUGACACGGAGGAGGUGCUCAUCACAUGGGCUGCUGAUCUUUGGGAGGCAAUUCUUUUAGAGCCACUGUCACUAACAGUCCUUCAGAAACUGAGGACCAAGCUGAACAUCACAGCUGCCCAUUCAAGACCUGCUACAUAAUUUGUGGAGCCCAGUGCAAACAAAAAUUGUAGAGCUCCUUGUUCAAAACUUAAGAAUGUCAAGAUGAUGACGGCAGAGCUCAGAGCCCUUCUGAGGGUGAAGUGCCAUGUGACUGCACAUGGCCCACCCCGUGCUCCCACUGGUGGUCCAUGGUCCUGUGUUGUCCUACGGAACCUACGAGGCUGGAUGGGGUCUGCCCAGAGCAGGAGAGAGCCAGGCGAGUAGCCAGCUGGGCCACGCAAAGGGCACCUGCAGGCAUGGUCUGUGUCCAUGCAGCUCGCCUGGGCGGCCUGGCUUGCAGCUCCUAUCCUGCCACCUGCCAUAGAGCUGCCGGCUCUCUGCCCCCUUGCCUUUAUGUUUGUUAUUGUGAUAGAACGUGUAUCUAGAAUAAAGUGCACAAGUCCAAAGUAUGUGGCUGGAUG
rnacentral:lncRNA from 1 species